GUGGUCGAGCGAUCACGAGUAUGGAGACGGAGUCAUAAAGGUGGUCGAACACACGCACAGUGUCGAAGCUUCUUUUAUCGCUAAGGAAAAAAUGAAAUGUCAGACCGUGUUAUUAUUGCCCUGAUGCCCUCGACCAGCUCGUUGAAAAGGACUUUGCGGCAGAUUCGUCACGAAAGUGAAAACUACCCAACGAAUCCGGAAAAUCGAAAAGAUUUUGUCCUCCCGCAAGAGCUUUGAGAGACGGAGAAGAAAACAGGUUUUCUGUCUACGCUUUGUUGCGAGACAAGAGGAAAGUCGUGUGUCGUCAAAUGCUCCAUCGUCCGAUCGACAUCCGGGCAGAUCUGAGCCCUUCGACUGUACUCAUGAACAUGAAAAAAGCUGCUGUUCGAGCAUUCCUGGACGUGUCAAUCCGCUUUCCUAAUUUCCACUUCAGUCAAUCGGUACGGCAGAAGCUCACAUAACUUGACAUCGGUCUACGGCACGGGCCAAGUUUUUCCUUAAAAAAUCAAGCUUCUCGCGACGCUCGCUUGCGUUCCAGUGGACAACGCGAAGAGUUUAUUCGCUCGGAUCGUGGACCAAGUUUUUCACAACCCCGAAAAAGAUGCGGCAGAUUUCCUUCUGUCCUUUGAAAAACGGUUCGUCGGUCGCCGUCACUACCGUCCUCGACGAAACAGGCACAAUCUGAAAAUUACCCAAUAAAACAUUGGAAUCAUUGCGACUCGUGUAAAGCGUGCCUCACGAAAAUAACUACGUCGAAGGAUGAAAUCGCGGAUAUAAUUCGUUUUUUAAACGAAAAAAUUCAACAAUGUUGUUUUUCAUUGAUUGUUUAAAAACGGGACAGUCAGGGAACGAAGAAUUCAUUAUUGAACAGAAAAAUUAUUCCAGAAAACAUUAGUGAAAAAUAAUUACAAAACUGUGAGAAUUCGUUGACUUAUUUCAGUUUUUUUCUAAGGAAAGCUGAUUAAUUAUGUGCCAGAUUAGAAAAAGACUUGUAACGAUAACGUGCAAGAAUCAAAAUAUAUUAUUUGGAACAAAA